GAGUUUGAUCCUGGCUCAGAACGAACGCUGGCGGCAGGCCUAACACAUGCAAGUCGAGCGCUGUAGCAAUACAGAGCGGCGCACGGGUGAGUAACACGUGGGAACGUGCCCUUUGGUUCGGAAUAACUCAGGGAAACUUGAGCUAAUACCGGAUGAGCCCUAACGGGGAAAGAUUUAUCGCCGAAGGAGCGGCCCGCGUUGGAUUAGCUAGUUGGUGGGUAAAGCCUACCAAGGCAACGAUCCAUAGCUGGUUUGAGAGAACGACCAGCCACACUGGGACUGAGACACGGCCCAGACUCCUACGGGAGGCAGCAGU
rnacentral:rRNA from 1 species